UCAGACGAUGCGUCAUGCAUAUCAAUAAGCGGAGGAAAAGAAACUAACAAGGAUUCCCCUAGUAACGGCGAGUGAAGCGGGAAGAGCUCAAAUUUGAAAUCUUAAAGGGUUUCCCUUUACGAAUUGUAGUUUAAAGAAGUGUUUUCUGUUGAGGUUUUGGUAAAAGUUCUUUGGAAUAGGACAUCAUAGAGGGUGAGAAUCCCGUAUUUGACCUUUACUUUCAACUUUGUGAUACACUUUCAAAGAGUCGGAUUGUUUGGGAAUGCAGUCCAAAAUGGGUGGUAAAUUUCAUCUAAAGCUAAAUAUUGGCGAGAGACCGAUAGCGAACAAGUACCGUGAGGGAAAGAUGAAAAGAACUUUGAAAAGAGAGUUAAACAGUACGUGAAAUUGUCAAAAGGGAAGCGUUUGACACCAGUGUUGUUUUUCUGAAAAUCAAUUAAAGAACUGUUUAUGCUAAGCUGUUUAGACUUUAUCAGCUAUCUGUUUAGUUUUGAGCUUUUCUUUAAUGCAGCUUUUCAGUUAACAAGUCAACAUCAAUUUCUUUUGCUGUAAAAAAGCUUGAGGAAGGUGGCUUGAGAUUCGUCUUAAGUGUUUAUAGCCUCUUGCCUAUGCAGUCGGAGAGAUUGAGGUCUGCAGCGUAGAUCCUUCGGGGCUAAAUGCAUUUGUGCUAAGUUAUAGCAGUUUUAUAGACAACUUGUUGACUAUGAUUUGUCUUGUAGCUUACUCGCUUAUGUUAUUUUACCUACGCUUAGGAUGUUGACACACGCGCGUGCUCG
rnacentral:rRNA from 1 species